rnacentral:lncRNA from 1 species
UCCGAAUCCAGCACUCCUUUCCCUACCCCUGUCCAGGGAGAAAGGCUGGAGAUGAAACAGCCUGAUGGGGCUCAACCAACCAGAAUACAUCAGAAGGGACGCCUCUGUGGCUGGGGAAGGAAGAUGCUAGAGCUGCUGGGAGGAAGUGGGAGAAUUGUCAGGCACCAGCAUGGCCCAGGAAGCCCCUGACUACUGCAGAGUGUAGGGCAAGGAGUGGGACCAUUACUCCUGGCGUUCCCAGAUGGAACAGACACCAAGCCUGGCUUUGCCACUGAACACAAUACAGGACUGAUAAAGGAAAUAGAGGCUGCCCAUCUCUCAGUGCCACAUAUGAGAAAGGGAAGUUGUCAUUUUAUAUAUCCACUGUCAAGCAUCUUGGUA